CCUACGGGUGGCAGCAGUGGGGAAUAUUGGACAAUGGGCGCAAGCCUGAUCCAGCCAUACCGCGUGGGUGAAGCAAGGCCUUCGGGUUGUAAAGCCCUUCUCUGUUGGGAAAGAAAUCCAGCCGGCUAAUACCUGGUUGGGAUGACGGUACCCACAAGAAUAAGCACCGGCUACACUUCGUGCCAGCAGCCGCGGCUACAUACGCAAGGGUGCACAGCGCUUACUCGGAAUUACUGGGGCGUAAAGCGUGCGUAGGUGGUUGUUUAACGUCUGUYGUCGAAACGCCCUGGGCUCAACCUCGGGAACUGCAGUGGAAACUGGACAACUAGAGUGUGGUAGCAGGGUCAGCGCGAAUUUCCCGGGUGUAGCAGUGAAAAUGCGUAGAGAUCGGGCAGGAACAUCCAUGGCGAAGGCAGCUACCUGGACCAACACUGACACUGAGGCACGAAAGCGUGGGGAGCAAACAGGAUUAGAUACCCCCGGAUAGUC
rnacentral:rRNA from 1 species